GCCUGGCUUAGGACCGUAGGCCUAUAGCCCAGCUACCUAGGAGGCUGAGGUGGGAGGAUCGCUGGAGCCCAGGAGUUUGGGAUCCACCUGGGUGAUGCAGUAAGGUGCCCUGCUCUC
rnacentral:sRNA from 1 species